GACGUAGGAGACAAACGUUAUCCGGAGUUACGGGGCGUAAAGGGCGUGCAGGUGGUCUGUUAAGUUUGGCGUGAAAUCUCUCGGCUUAACUGGGAGGGCGCGUUGAAGACUGGCGGGCUUGAGGCAGCGAGAGGGGUGUGGAAUUCCCGGUGUAGUGGUGGAAUGCGUAGAGAUCGGGAGGAACACCAGAGGCGCAAGCGACACCCUGGCGCUGGUCUGACGCUCAGGUGCGAAAGCGUGGGGAGCGAACGGG
rnacentral:rRNA from 1 species